rnacentral:rRNA from 1 species
CAGUCGCCACGGUAAUACAGAGGGUGCGAGCGUUAAUCGGAUUUACUGGGCGUAAAGCGUGCGUAGGCGGUUUCUUAAGUCUGAUGUGAAAGCCCCCGGCUCAACCGGGGAGGGUCAUUGGAAACUGGGAAACUUGAGUGCAGAAGAGGAGAGUGGAAUUCCACGUGUAGCGGUGAAAUGCGUAGAGAUGUGGAGGAACACCAGUGGCGAAGGCGACUCUCUGGUCUGUAACUGACGCUGAGGAGCGAGAGCGUGGGGAGCGAACAGGAUUAGAUACCCCAGUAGUCCCUGUCUCUUAUAC